AUGGCUCAUUCGCUCAGUGCUUCAGUGCCAGGAGAGAGAUCAUGCCAAUUAUUAUUUAUAAACCCAGCUGGCAUUUCAGACGGGGACACACUGCCCUCGGAGCUAGCAGGCUGCAUCCAGGCUACAUCUCAAGGUCACGGCGUCAAACACAGCCCUCGAAGGGGCUCAGCGGGGUUGUCAGUGGGUCUGGAGUCCUGCYGGCCUGAGCAUCUGCUUCUGGGGAGGGAAAAUCACCCGUUGCCCCAGCACGAGGUGGCAAAGAUCAUCAGGAGCAACGUUUCUGCCGGAGAUGUCGCAGAGGCGAGCUUCCUCCUCAGCACCGGCAGCUCUUGCAGCCGCAAGCCCCCCGGCAAGCCACUCCGGGUCCGAACCUUGCAGAUGAGGCACCCGAUAACAUCCCUGUCUCCAUCUUCUGGUGAGCAGUUUUGAACUCCUUUCUGUUUGCUUUUGCUCCCAGAAGACCGAUGUCCAAAGGUGUCCUGCUCAGCCUGAAAGGAAGCGGCAAAACCGUGGGGCUCAGCAUCUCGGAGGCAUUGUGUCCUUCAAAGGCGACGAACAAACAGCCGUGCUCCUUUCCAGCCCCGUCAGGGAUCCUGAGGAAAUGCUGCAGUCAACACAUUUGGGCGCCGCUUCCUCCUCGCACUGAGAGCCUGUUUAAACACUUACUAAUGUAAAGAAGCUUUUUGCUGCCGUAAGGCAAUGUCUGUAUUUCCAGCGGGCAUCCUGGUUAAACACUGUGGACUUCUUAGAGUCACAGCCAGUCUCCGAAUGAAAAGGUACCUUGUUUGAAAAACAGAGGGUCUUUUUCUUCCACGGCCACCUAAAAUAUUGCACGUCACUGUUGAUGUUUUCAUUUUGAGAAUGAUGAGGUAAAAACACACUCUGCGUGGGCUAGGGGCGUUUUCUUUGGUUGAGAGUUUUAUUUUCUUAAUCGUCUGUCUCCUGCAUGAAGCUCGCAGGUGAAAAUGCUGAGGCUUUUAAAAAGAUGUGCCUCAGACCACGACAAAUAUUUUCCUGGAGAGCCAGCACACACACAAAGUGUUUGUGGAAGAGGAGGGCUGCUCUCCCUCCUGCCCUGGAGACAGCGAGUCCAUCGCAGACCCUUCCUGCCCCAGCUCCCCAUGGCCCCCAGGGCUCAGCCUCCACAAGUUGGCCCUGUGGCCUGAGCUGGAGCGAAGCUCACCCGUCAGCCUCAUCUCCCCAAAGGCAAGACCCGCGCUGGCCGUGGGUUAGCAAUGCCAUUGCAGGGAGCAGGAGGGUGUUGCAGGGCUUGCCUUGAAGCCCUGCUCCCAGAGGAAAGCCUUCAUGCCCUGGAUGGGUCUUCCUCAUCUGGCACUAGUCAGCAGGCAGCAAGGCCAGGCAUAACGCCGUCUCUUCUCUGAAUCGUGCCUUCGCAGGGCUGUGGUCGUCCCUGAUAGUGGUGACUGUG
rnacentral:lncRNA from 1 species